rnacentral:rRNA from 1 species
ACUUUAAGUAUCCUAAAGGGUUGUUCGAGACUAGAACGUUGAUAGGCAGGGUGUGUAAGCGUUGUGAGGCGUUGAGCUAACCUGUACUAAUUGCCCGUGAGGCUUAACCAUACAACACCCAAGGGGUUU